GACUACUGGGGUAUCUAAUCCCGUUCGCUCCCCACGCUUUCGCACAUGAGCGUCAGGCUAGUGCCAGGGUGCCGCUUUCGCCACUGGUAUUCCUCCCGAUAUCUACGCAUUCCACCACUACACCGGGAAUUCUACACCCCUCUCACCGCCUCAAGCACAUCAGUUUCCAACGACCCCUCCCAGUUAAGCCGGGAGAUUUCACGUCAGACUUAAUGCGCCGCCUGCGUGCGCUUUACGCCCAGUAAUUCCGGAUAACGCUUGUCACCUACGUAUUACCGCGGCUGCUGGCACGUAGUUAGCCGUGACUUAUUCUCGGGGUACCGUCCUUCCUCUUCCCCCGUAAAAGGAGUUUACAACCCGAAGGCCGUCUUCCUCCACGCGGCGUUGCUGGGUCAGGCUUCCGCCCAUUGCCCAAUAUUCCUCACUGCAGCCCCCCGUAGG
rnacentral:rRNA from 1 species